rnacentral:SRP_RNA from 1 species
GCCGGGCGUGGUGGAGCAGCCUGUAGUCCCAGCUACUCAGGAGGCUCAGGUGGGAGGAUCGCUUGAGCCCAGGAGUUCUGGGCUGUAGUGCGCUAUGCCGACCAGGUGUCGACACUAAGUUCGGCAUCAAUAUGGUGACUUCCCGGGAGUGGGGUACCACCAGGUUGUCUAAGGAGGGGUGAACCGGCCCAUGUCGGAAAGGGAGCAGGUCAAAACUCCCAUGCUGAUCAGUAGUGGGAUUGCACCUGUGAAUAGCCACUGCACUCCAGCCUGGGCAACAUAGCAACACCCUGUCUCUC